UUUAAACGCAGUAAUAAGUUUUCGUGUCCAACUUUGAUUGUCCAGCUUAUUUUAAAUUUUAUGAUUAAAAUUUUUGUUGUUAUUAGAUGAUAAAACACGAAUAGUAUUUAUGCAUAACUUCUGUUUUUUUUAGUUUUUCUUAAAAAAAAUUCAAAUAAGACCGAGGGAGUACUCGAUGGCUACGCUUAAA
rnacentral:pre_miRNA from 1 species